rnacentral:rRNA from 1 species
AUUAUUUUAAAUGUAAAUUUAUUUGCUUAAUUAGUAUUAGUUAUGUUCUUCAAAUUUAAAGAUUUUGGCGGUAUUUUAGUCUAUUCAGAGGAACCUGUUCUGUAAUUGAUAUUCCACGAUUAACUUAACUUAUUUUAUUAAUUUGUAUACCGUCGUUAUUAGAUAAUUUUAUAAGAAGAUAAAUUUUUUAGAUUUUUAAUAAGAAAAUAUAUCAGAUCAAGGUGCAGUUUAUAAAUAAGGAGAAAUGGGUUACAAUAAAUUUAUUUAUACGGAUUUAUAUAUGAAAUUAUAGAUUGAAGGUGGAUUUGAUAGUAAUAAAAUUAAUUUAAAUUUUUUGAUUAUAGCUCUAAAAUAUGU